rnacentral:rRNA from 1 species
UGGGGAAUUUUGGACAAUGGGCGAAAGCCUGAUCCAGCAAUGCCGCGUGUGUGAAGAAGGCCUUCGGGUUGUAAAGCACUUUUGUCCGGAAAGAAAUCCUUGGCUCUAAUACAGUCGGGGGAUGACGGUACCGGAAGAAUAAGCACCGGCUAACUACGUGCCAGCAGCCGCGGUAAUACGUAGGGUGCAAGGCGUUAAUCGGAAUUACUGGGCGUAAAGCGUGCGCAGGCGGUUUGCUAAGACCGAAUGUGAAAUCCCCGGGCUCAACCUGGGAACUGCAUUGGUGACUGGCAGGCUAGAGUAUGGCAGAGGGGGGUAGAAUUCCACGUGUAGCAGUGAAAUGCGUAGAGAUGUGGAGGAAUACCGAUGGCGAAGGCAGCCCCCU